rnacentral:rRNA from 1 species
GAAGGUGUUGCUGUACACGUCUCUACGAUGACAUCUAACUACGUGUACACGUCUCCCGAGAAGAUCGUUUACCAAAUAAUGAGGUAGUGCGAACAUCGUUUGCGGCCGGGCUCGAAGGUGAUUUAGAUUCUCAACCUGCCGGACGGCUAAACGGCGCCACUACCUACUACGGCGCCACGUGCAAGAGCACAAGGGAACCGGUGCCGUCCCUGUGUAGUUGGGGUACGAGGUAAAGCGGUGGCGGGAGCAGCUGCGGCCGCAGGUUCAAUGGAAGGAGGUGUGGCUCGCGUUGGAGGCAGCAGAACGAGUCCGCGGAGGCGGCCCGGAGGCGAACGACAGGUAGGGGCUGCCGGUUGGGCUGCCAGUGGGAGGGCCGAAGAACCUCGAGGACCUCAGGUACAGGUGCUGGCCGUCGCGCCGCAUGGCCCGGGACGAGAGACGACGGCUACGCGGCCACUGUACGCAACAGCGGCUGUCGUGGUAAGGCAAGCGGAAGCUGUAGCGGCUCCUCGAGCCGUAGGGUAGCGAGCGGAAGCAGUGCGUGUCGCGCACGUCAAUGGACCGCUAGGAUAGAUACGGGUUCGAGCAGCUCGAGCCGCUCUGGCGGAAGGGACGUCUGCUGGACCACGCACCGCAAGGCCCCUACCUCCCGAAGGAGGCCGCUGCUCUAGAGGGUGCACCUGAGACGACGCGACUUUCUCCGCCGCUUCUGGGGAACCACGAGUUCUAGCGGCUCCAGUGGCGAGCAUGGUCGUUCCGUGCACGUGAGUAUCAGUUGUGGCGGCGCAGGUACCUCGCCAGUCGCGAGCGGGUGUAGCGCAGCACGUGUUGGCUGCAGAAGCGGCAUCCGGGCGAAGUGCGCUCCAGCUCCAAGCGGCGUUCGCGCUCGGACACCGCCCUCCUGCUGCUCACGUACCGUACCGACCUGCCGGUGCUGCUGGCCAGGCAGCACAUGCACUCGGACCCCUCGGAGCGGCACUAGUGCGUACUCGUCAAGUGACUUAAGGAGCGGCCGGACCGUCGGUGGCCCAUGCGGAAGGAGACCCACGAGGCCGGCCUGUACCAGGUUUACCGGUCGAGGCGCGAGGAGGCUCUCCGGCAGCCCCGUCGGCUCCCGCCGUCUCCCGCGCAGUAGCUCACCCGAGGAGUCGCGCUGCACAACGCCGUGGCCCGCCACCCGACGAAGGACUGUGUGCGUCCUACCUUGAGCUGCGACCUCACGCGGCAGCUCCCGCACGGCUACCACACGACCGGGAAGAAGCAGCUGGUCGUCUGGUUGUCGGCGAAGCACCUACGGCACACCUCCUGCCCCGACCUGUACUUCCUGUAGACGCUGUCUCCACGGCACCUCUCCUGUCACUCCCUCCAGUACCACAGGCUGCUCUAGACCCCCCACCGGGUUCGGUACCGCGUUGUCAACUCCGAGCUACAGCGCCUCUGCCCCAGCAGCAGGAGACUAAAGCUUGCCGAGCAGGUGAAGUAGCCCCUCGACUUCGUGACACACUUCGGAUCGAGUCCGACUUGUUGUCGAAACGGAGUGGGUGGACUUUCAUUCCCCCUACUUUUCAUAAUAUCCUUUCCGGUCAUUAGUCGGGCAUUACCCGGGCACUCAAAUCGUAAAAACCCGAUUUGUUACGAGAGAGGGUGCCGACGGAGAUCCACAUGUCCACAUGCCGCUGGGGCGCUGUCAAUCCCUCGAGGCGCUAGAGCACCUCCGCACACGCGGCAGCUAGGAAACGUAACAACUUUGAGUUGAACGCUUCCGGGCUCACCUCCCUAACCGACAAAGAAAUCCAAAAAGUCCUACAAAACGUCAAGGUUCAUUGCCAGCAUCACCACCAAAUACAUAAAAAACUUUUCUAGUACAAUUAGAGCGUUAUUUCUUGAAAAGCGU